rnacentral:rRNA from 1 species
GACGAACCGUGCGAACGUUGUUCGGAUUCACUGGGCUUAAAGGGCGCGUAGGCGGGCAUCCAAGUCAGGGGUGAAAUCUUUCGGCCCAACCGGAAAAGUGCCUUUGAUACUGGGUGCCUCGAGGGAGGUAGGGGCAUGUGGAACUUCCGGUGGAGCGGUGAAAUGCGUAGAUAUCGGAAGGAACGCCGGUGGCGAAAGCGACGUGCUGGACCUCUUCUGACGCUGAGGCGCGAAAGCCAGGGGAGCAAACGGG